rnacentral:rRNA from 1 species
GAACACCAGUGGCGAAGGCGACUUACAGGGCCGUAACUGACGUUGAUGCGCGAAAGGCUGGGGAGCGAACAGGAUUAGAUACCCUGGUAGUCCACGCUGUAAACGAUGAGUGCUAGGUGUAGCGGGUAUCGACCCCUGCUGUGCCGGAGUUAACACAAUAAGCACUCCGCCUGGGGAGUACGGCCGCAAGGUUGAAACUCAAAGGAAUUGACGGGGGCCCGCACAAGCAGCGGAGCAUGUGGUUUAAUUCGAAGCAACGCGAAGAACCUUACCAGGUCUUGACAUCGAGGCAAAGCCGUAGAGAUACGGUGUUCAGCAAUGAGGCCGAAGACAGGUGGUGCAUGGUUGUCGUCAGCUCGUGUCGUGAGAUGUUGGGUUAAGUCCCGCAACGAGCGCAACCCUUAUUGUCAGUUACUAACGGGUAAAGCCGAGGACUCUGACGAGACUGCCGGGGACAACUCGGAGGAAGGUGGGGACGACGUCAAAUCAUCAUGCCCCUUAUGACCUGGGCUACACACGUGCUACAAUGGUGGUAACAGAGAGGCGCGAGCUCGCAAGGGGGAGCGGAUCUCAAAAAAGCCAUCUCAGUUCGGAUUGUGGGCUGCAACCCGCCCACAUGAAGUUG